rnacentral:rRNA from 1 species
UGGGGAAUCUUGCGCAAUGGGCGAAAGCCUGACGCAGCGACGCCGCGUGUGGGAUGAAGGUCUUCGGAUUGUAAACCACUGUCGCGAGGGACGAAAAUCUGACGGUACCUCGAAAGGAAGCACCGGCUAACUCUGUGCCAGCAGCCGCGGUAAUACAGAGGGUGCGAGCGUUGUCCGGAAUCACUGGGCGUAAAGGGCGCGUAGGCGGCCGGGUAAGUAGGGGGUGAAAUCUCAUGGCUCAACUGUGAGGCUGCCUUCUAGACUGCCUGGCUCGAGCAUGGUAGAGGCGAGUGGAAUUCCCGGUGUAGCGGUGGAAUGCGUAGAGAUCGGGAAGAACAUCGGUGGCGAAGGCGGCUCGCUGGGCCAUUGCUGACGCUGAUGCGCGAAAGCGUGGGGAGCAAACAGGAUUAGAUACCCCCGUAGUCC